UGGACCCGUGGCAGGCCCCCUGAACAGUUUUGUCGCUGCUGCCGGGCCCAUGGCUGUCCGCCGGAGACCCAGCGUUCCCUCCAGUGGACUAGAGGCAGGGUGUGUAUGUGUGUGGUCUGCGGGUGUGGCUGGAGGAUAGAGGACAGCCGCAUGCAGGCCUGAUGGGUGUGGCCCUGCAGGAGGACUGGCCACACCUGAAGUUCCUGCCACACACCUGUUGGUGAUCAGUGCUCGUCGGGGGAGCUACUUAGGAGAGUGGAGCUUCCACCGGCGCGGGAUCAUUGAGUUAGCAUAUCGAGAGGAAGAGUGGUCCAGAGAGGCAGCACGCACGGGGGUGCGGAAACACAACCGCGGGGAGCACGAGCACAGACAUCGGAGGGAAGCACGCACACGGGUUCAAGGGAGCAACGGGGAGUCAUUGUGUUUACAGUUUUUCACUCUCCUCCUCCUCAGAAACAUAAAGUUGGGGGUGAAGAUGAGGCCUGUUUCACUCUCUCACUGUCGGCCAUGAUAUUACAACUGAACCAAACAGCUGCUCUUCAUUCAGCUGUUAGUGAUGCUGCGUGUCUUUGCAGUGCUCAACCUGAGGAUGAAGGACUUUAUACAUGUAGCAUAACUGACCCAGAUGGCCUACACACCAUUACAUGGAAUUUAAAAGUGUCUGAGAACCCAGAAGAAUCGAUUUCAUCAAAGUAUUUUACAUUCAUACUUCCAUCUGCAAUUGAUUCCUUCUGUGUGGCAUCACACUGGCUGUCUUCUUCUACAGAUGUUGCACCAGGACCCCGAACCAGGACCUUCAUCAUAUCAGGACCUUGAGUUUUGUUCAUUAUCAUGUUCAGCUGGGAGGAAAGGUGGUCCUUCCACAACCUCAGAGUUUUGCAGUGUACAGGACAGGCAGCACACUGAGAGACUCAGUCCAUGUGGCCAUCUUGGGAGAUGGCCACAGUGUCACAAUUCCCACCUUGAAGUGAAAGUGGAUGUCAAAGAAACACUGCAAGUGAUGUCUUUUCACUGAUUAAAAACCCCCAAACAAAAGUAUUUAUUCCCAAUUGCCAGUCUUGAUCCCAUCCACCAGGACCUCCCCUCCUGGCCACUGCCCGGCGCUUCCUGCGAGCAGUGGGUCUGCAGGAAGAUGAGCCCAAGCCCCUUUCUUCGGGCUGUGCCCAGCAGGGCCCCACGGACUAAGGCCCGGUCACCAGACGCUAUUUAACUGUUUGUAGCCUGACGCAGUUUCCUGUUUUGUUGUGUUUUUCCAAAUGAUAAUAUAAAACAUGAAAAUUGCAAUAAACAUAUUAUACUUAUUAUACAUAUUAUAUACUAUAUUAUAUGAGUGUUUAGUCUUUUUUUUCUUUUUUUUUUAGUUUUUUACUCAAAAAAUAAAGUUGAAAGACAUGAUUCUGGAAGUUAGUUUAGCAUAGAUAAGUGUUCAUUAUACCGAAUGUGAAAUUCAGCGCCCACUAGACACUCCGUACAAACUGAUAUUUUAAUAGCUAACUGACAGAUCGUUAGGUCUACUGUCAGACCUCGAUGGCACAGAGGUUCAUCAUUGUGAACAAAACCAAGACACUCCGUACGGUUCUCACUUACUAGCAGGGAAGUCACGUGUGUGUGUGUAUGUGCACGUGCACGUGACUGAGUGCAUGUAUGUGUCUCUGUAUAUGUGACUUCCUCCCACACAAUAUAUGCUUACAACUGUUUAACCACAUUUCCUAGUUAUCCAAAGGUCAUCUCCCCUCACCGUAUAUGGCUUAACUUAAUGUUUCAGCAUAUACAAGCACAGACGAGCCCCUAAAUGGCCGGGAGUGAACAUCCUUUACCAGAUAAGUAACCAGAACCUUUAGAUAGAAUGUGCCUGCAGUUAAACACUAUAACUAAUUGACUCCCCGACAGGAACAG
ensembl:lncRNA